AGAAGGGAGCUUGCUCCCGGAUGUUAGCGGCGGACGGGUGAGUAACACGUGGGUAACCUGCCUGUAAGACUGGGAUAACUCCGGGAAACCGGAGCUAAUACCGGAUAGUUCCUUGAACCGCAUGGUUCAAGGAUGAAAGACGGUUUCGGCUGUCACUUACAGAUGGACCCGCGGCGCAUUAGCUAGUUGGUGGGGUAAUGGCUCACCAAGGCGACGAUGCGUAGCCGACCUGAGAGGGUGAUCGGCCACACUGGGACUGAGACACGGCCCAGACUCCUACGGGAGGCAGCAGUAGGGAAUCUUCCGCAAUGGACGAAAGUCUGACGGAGCAACGCCGCGUGAGUGAUGAAGGUUUUCGGAUCGUAAAGCUCUGGUGUUAGGGAAGAACAAGUGCGAGAGUAACUGCUCGCACCUUGACGGUACCUAACCAGAAAGCCACGGCUAACUACGUGCCAGCAGCCGCGGUAAUACGUAGGUGGGCAAGCGUUGUCCGGAAUUAUUGGGCGUAAAGGGGCUCGCAGGCGGUUUCUUAAGUCUGAUGUGAGAGCCCCCGGCUCAACCGGGGAGGGUCAGUGGGAACUGGGAAACUUGAGUGCAAAG
rnacentral:rRNA from 1 species